GAGUUUGAUCUUGGCUCAGAGCGAACGCUGGCGGCAGGCUUAACACAUGCAAGUCGAACGGGCACUUCGGUGCUAGUGGCAGACGGGUGAGUAACACGUGGGAACGUACCUUUCGGUUCGGAACAAUCCAGGGAAACUUGGACUAAUACCGGAUACGCCCUUCGGGGAAGGAUUUAUCGCCGAUAGAUCGGCCCGCGUCUGAUUAGCUAGUUGGUAGGGUAAAGGCCUACCAAGGCUACGAUCAGUAGCUGGUCUGAGAGGAUGAUCAGCCACACUGGGACUGAGACACGGCCCAGACUCCUACGGGAGGCAGCAGUAGGGAAUCUUGCGCAAUGGGCGAAAGCCUGACGCAGCCAUGCCGCGUGAAUGAUGAAGGUCUUAGGAUUGUAAAAUUCUUUCAGCGGGGACGAUAAUGACGGUACCCGCAGAAGAAGCCCCGGCUAACUUCGUGCCAGCCGCCGCAGUAAU
rnacentral:rRNA from 1 species